rnacentral:lncRNA from 1 species
UUUUUACUAACCCUAUUCCUAAUCACUAUUUUCCCCACAUUUUCUAAAAAUACCAACUUCAUUCAUUUUUCACCCAUUUUUUAGAAUUCCUUACCUCUCCUCCCUCACACAAAAACCAACAUCACUCCCAACUUGCAGUCCACCGUCGUCGUCGUCGUCGUCGCCCAAACGUUCUCUUUGUCGCCAACCUACGUUCCUCCACGUCGGCCGUGUAGCUUCUCUUCGCCACCCAGCUUCCUCAUCACUGGCUCAGAUACCAAGCAUCUCUUUCUCUUAAAACUCAAAGGUAAAAUUUUGCUAAUAACUCAUUUGUUUCAUUACAAUUGUUGCCUUGAUUUUGUUGUUUAAAUUGUAUCAUCUUUAAUGAUUGCGAAGAUUUCUCUUUCGUACUUUUGUAGUUUGGUUGUGGAAGUGUUAAUUAAAUGGUUUUGAAUUCUGUGUAAGAUGGUGGAAAGAGUUUGUGUGGGUGUGGAGGAGAAAUCUAAAAUGAGUUGUGAGGUUGAGAAGUUUAAAAAAUAAAAAAUCAUUUCGUGGUAUAUGCUUCAACAAGAAUGAGAGAACUUUUUUGAAAUUUUGUUUUAUUAUGAGAUUCUUACAUUUGAGGAUUAAAGGAACGAUAUGUAUACAUGGUUUUCAAAUUUCAAAUUUUACUAUUAUAUUAAUAGAACAGUUUUAGGUUUGUUGUAAAUUUGAAAGUUUCUAUUACCGAUUUGUAAGUUGUUUCAAUAGUUAAAAUGUCACCUUUAGAGUUUUUGUUCGUAAAUUGUAGUUGGUUUUGAGUUUAAAAGUUAAAAUUAAUAACUUCCUUGGGUACUCUUUAGGUUAGUUUAAGAGUAAAAUGUUUCACUUAUACAUUUUAAAGUUAUCUUGAGAUUUGAUCCACACUUUCAAACUUUUAGUAAACUUUGUAGGUUGGUUGAGUUUUGAAGUCACACUUAAGUAGUUUUAACUUGUUUUGAGAGUUGAAUUGUCAUUUAGACACUUUUAAGAGUUUUUGUAGUUAAUUUUGAGUUUUAAAGUCACACUUAGACAUUCAGAACUUGUUUUGAGAGUUAAGACACUUUUUAGGUGAUUUUUAGUUUGAAAGUCACACUUAGAUAUAUAACUUUAACUUGUUUUAAGAGUUAUAGUGCCACCUUGACACUUUGCAGAGAUUGUGUUAGGUUUAAUGUUUUGAUGGCACACUUAGACAUUUAUAAGUUGUUUUGAGAGUUAAAACACUUUCUAAAUGAAUUUUAUUUCAAAGUCACAUUUAUGUAGUAAUUUUAACUUGUUUUGAGAGUUAAAAUGUUACUUAGUCAAAGUCACUUGUGAUGGUUGAUUUUAAACAACAAAAUUUUUAUGUUUUUUCUUCUUUGUUAGAAGUGCAUGCAUUGCAUGGACUAUAUGGACAUUAUAUACCAAUAUGUUCUACGCGUCUCACUAAUAAGAAUGACUUGAUAGCAAUUCACCAUCUUCAACAUUGUAUCAAAUGAACACUAGGGAAAAGUAUAUUUUUUAACAUUCACCAUUUUUUUUCAAAUUCAUACUCUUACCGAUGUUGAUUGAGGUUGUCCUUUGGUUGUUUAGCUACCGCUUAUCGCAUACUUCUUGGUGAUUAUCACUAUAUAUUUCUUGUCCUAUAGCUUUUGUAGAGUAUCAUUACAAAUUUGCAAGUAUAUUUUCCUUCACUUGUGCUUGUUUCUCGUGAUAAUCUAGUUGUGCAUACGGUUCCUAGUCCAACUUUUUAUGAUUAGGAUACUAAACAAAAAUAAAUUAGGUGACAGUUGGUCAUUAGCUGCUGUUGCCUAAUUUCUUUACAAAUUUAAAAGGUCUUGGCUUCUCCUAAUUUUUUCUUUCUUUAUUGUCGAGCUUGGGGAAUUCGCAAUAUUCAUUGUGCAACUUCACUGGUAGUAUUACGUUAUUUGAAGAUUUUGUCUUUUUAUACACAAAAUAUGUUGAUUUGUUGAGUUGUUACAUGUAGUUAUUUUUAGUCGUUACAUUACACAUGAAUAUAAAGCUUGUUGUACUCCACACUUGGUGAGAUGAAACAAAAU